CCGGACGUCGGCGGCGGUCAGUGCGACUCCGAGACCUUGCGAGAUGCGACCGUCCGUCGCCGCCGUUGCCGAUGACUCGCCGUGGUAGGCCUUUGUCACGACAUUUGAGUUCCGCGUCCGUUUCAUCCGCCGAAAGUGGCGGACGUUUAAACACCCCACCUGUACUACGAAGGCCAUCACCAUUUACUGUUGGCUGAGCUCGUCGUCUCCCACCGGGAGACAUAACUACGGACCGUCUGCGCUGGGCGGCAAGAGAGGCACCUUCCCGAACGUCGCCAUGCAGGAAGUGGAGAGGGCCAAGGCCAGGCACAUGGCGAAAAAACAUAACAGCAAAGUAGAACGGCAAAAAUCAUCAGACAAAACGUUAUCCAAAGCACCAAGUAUUGAGACCAAAAAACAAGAAAAAUGAGAAAAAACAUUCACAUAAUAUUAUCAAAGAUUUUAUUUUUUUAGCACUCUCACUGAAAAUGAUAACAACACAGUAAUUCGUAAUCAAAAUAUACACUGCUCUAAGUACACACUUUAAUAAUGUUAUUGUAAUUUAUAAUACACACAAUAAUUUCAUUGUAUAUUUAUAUAAUAUUAAUGAUCGUGUUAAUUUUGCCUUAAAUUUUAUCACGUUUUGUGUAUUCAAUGACCAAACAUAUUUUGUAACGUUUAGAGUGCAGGCAACUAUAAUAGUAUUGCAUUAUAAUACCUAUUUGUUGUAUAAAAAUAUUAUGUCUCACAUAUUAUGAUUUUUUUUUUAUUCUUUUUUUUUUUUUUUUGUAAAUUUAAAGCUCAAACGUCUUUGAAUGGUUAAUAAUAUUAUACUUUGUAAGCGUCUUAGACGCGUGUCACACACAAUUAUAUUUAUAUUACACCUAUAUACUAUAUUUAUAGAAAUAUGUAACACGAAUGGAAAUAAAUGAAUACAACUCCAUUUGAAA